GAUGAACGCUGGCGGCGUGCCUAAUACAUGCAAGUCGAGCGAACAGGCGAGGAGCUUGCUCCUUCGACGUUAGCGGCGGACGGGUGAGUAACACGUAGGUAACCUACCUAUAAGACUGGGAUAACUUCGGGAAACCGGAGCUAAUACCGGAUAAUAUUUCGAACCGCAUGGUUCGAUAGUGAAAGAUGGCUUUGCUAUCACUUAUAGAUGGACCUGCGCCGUAUUAGUUAGUUGGUAAGGUAACGGCUUACCAAGGCAACGAUACGUAGCCGACCUGAGAGGGGGUUGGGCACCCCAGAAACUGACCAACGGCCCAGCUCCUAAGGGAGGGCCGAGUAAGGGACCCUUCCGAACUGGGGGAAACCUUGCCGAAGAAACGCGGGGUGGGUGAGGAAGGUCUCCGAGCGGUAAAACGGUGUUAUUGGGGAAAACCAAACUUGUAAGUAACGGUGCACGUCUGACGGUAACCUAUCAGAAAGCCACGGCUAACUACGUG
rnacentral:rRNA from 1 species